GGGUGCCGCGCGGGGUGUCCCGGCAGGGACUGAGAUGGGCAGCCGCCCAGACCCGUGGAACCUGAUCUCGAUCAAUGCGAGCGGAGGGAACGCGGCGGCCCACGGGG
rnacentral:ncRNA from 2 species